rnacentral:misc_RNA from 1 species
UCCGAGUUGUCCCCGGCAGUCCUUUUAGAGUCCCCGGCAUUACCCGCUGGCAACUAAAAGCAGGGGUUGCGCUCGUUGCGGCACUUAAGCCAACACCUCACGGCACGAGCUGACGACAGCCAUGCAGCACCUGUGCUAGCCCCUUACGGACACCGGCUUUCACCGGCUUUAACUAGCAUGUCAAGCCUAGGUAAGGUUCUUCGCGUUGCAUCGAAUUAAGCCACAUGCUCCGCCGCUUGUGCGGGCCCCCGCCAAUUCCUUUGAGUUUUAACCUUGCGGCCGUACUCCCCAGGCGGGAUACUUAACGCGGUUGCUUCGGCACUGAAGGGGUCAAUACCUCCAACGGCUAGCUUCCAUCGUUUACGGCGUGGACUAC